CUCUUAAAAUUGAUGUGUUAAAAUUUUACACAAAAUAUGUGUAAAAGGAUUCCAACACAUUUUUGUGUUAGAACUGACACAUAAUGUGUAAAUAUUAUGCUUAACUGCUUACACAAUGAAUGUGUAAAACACGUUUACCAGUAAACCAUAAAAUAAAAUGCAUAAUUAUUGUAAUUUAAUGAUGAUUUAUAUUUAAACGAAGUAACAAAAUAAAAUAUAUCUACUGUUAACCAAAAUAUAUCUACUGUUAACCACUACUACCACAUAACAGCCAGCGGGGAUUUUGAUAAGAACUUGCCGAGAUCAAGCUGCGUUGGGCGGGGUACAUUAGCGCUGAGUAUCCGGUGGUUGUAUGGAUCAGAACUCCGAAAGAGUCGGAGCAGAUUUUUUAAUAAACGCUAUCUUUAUUAACCGACCGCACAUUUGAUCUUUUUAUACAUACAUUCUCGCCUAAAUAGCUUUUGAAUAUACAUUUUGUGACACAAUAAGAGUAAUAUUUCAAACAUUAUGCAGGCGUUCUCUUCCAUUGGUGGCUGUUGUAAGUUCACACGAGUCAGCUGAUGACGUUUCACUUGGACAGACAACCACGCAUUGUUGUAUAUUUUUUUGCGUGUGUUAUUAUUAUUUUAUUAUUAUGAAAUUCGUGAACAUUAUUAUUGCGCCUUGGCAGUCUAUUUUGUAUUUGUUUUAUUGAGGAGAAAAAAACAGACAAGAACGCAUAUUGUGUUGCGCCUGCGCUGUGACGUUCUUUUUUCAACCGCAUUUCCAGUCAAGAGGUCAAGAAUGUUCCUGUCUGCAUCAGCUAGCUAUCCAUCUGAAAAAGAAAAGCUGGAACUCGCAAAGGAGAUUGUGUUGUUGGAUUAUGGUCUCAUUUGGUCAAAAUGAGGGACAUGUACUUGGAUUUAUAAAAAUGAGACUACAGAACAUCAGACGGAAGCUUCAAUGGAGUUGAUGUGAGAGGACAUCAUCAAUAAAGAAUGCCAUUGACCAAACCUUCAGUCAUCAAAGAAGAUGGAUACAGGUGGACAUCGAGUUUUCCAGACUUACCGAUAGGAAAGAAGACAUGUUUAUCAGGAAAUUGGAGGUGACAAUUAUUGAGAAACUCAGGGAAAUAGCAUCUUUAGAGAAGAAAUGUAAUGUAAGAUAUUUAAUGUAAGAUAUAAAAGUAAUCCUUUUUAAAUAAUUUUUUCUCAUAAUUUAUAUUUUGCAUGUGACCUGCAUGUUUACCACACCCAGAUCUAUUGCUGUGUGAAUUCUGCUGUCUCAGACUGGGACUUGGUGGCGGCUGGUACCAGCAUGACCUUUUUGCUUACUAAAUGAUGAAAAGGUGUCUAAAAUCAGCUCAGCCACAGUUGGUUUCCAACGGUUCUUCAGGACAUGAAUUCGCAAUGAAUGAUUCUCUUGCCUUUCUACUUGAUGUUUACAAUCUGACCUGUGCGGUAGACAGACUUUUCAAAUUUACUAGCUAAGUAACCUUAAGUAUCCCUGCCAACUGUCUUCAGUUUUUUUUUUGGUAUGAAUAUGAUCUACCCUUGUCCCAGUCCUCUUGCAAACAAUCCAAGGCAAUGGAGUUUCAAAAUGGACCGCAAAAUUGCAGUCUGUUUUAACCAAUGCAUGCACUGUGUGGCGGUUUCCCGGACAGGGAUUAGACUAGUCCUAGACUAAAACAUUUUUAAGAGCUGUCCAAACUGAAAACAACUUGCACUGACAUAUCUUAAAAUACACCAGUGUCCUUUGUUUUGCCUCAAAAUGCACACAGGUAAUGUUUUUAGUAAGGCAUGUUUGUUAAAACCAGAUAUAUUUCCUAAUUAAUCUAAGGCCUAGUCCUGGAUUAAGAUUAUCCCUGUCCGGGAAACCACCCCUAAAUAUUUUGUGAUGGAAAUUUCUUUGAAUACACUUGUCAAGUUCAUUUGAAGUAUUUUUCUUAAUGUAAAAUAACGUGUUAAUGUUUCAGGACAAGGUAAGAAUUUUUGAUAACUUGCAUGUUGAAAACGAUUUCAGACAUUGUUUCAACAUGGUUAACAUGUGCUUUUAAAUUCAAUGAAUUAUUUUAUAAAUGGUGUUUUUUUAUGUAUGAAUGUAAUGUAUGUUUGAAGUGAUUAUACUUGCACUUAAAUUUAUUUAAAUUAGCAUACAUCUUGCAACAUACAGUACUAGCAUAUUUUCAUGCUAGCAUUAAUUGUCAAAUAUUUAUUAUUUUACAAAUAAAUCGUUUGUGAACAAUAUUUAAUAGUUGUCUGCUUGAUUUCAUUAUUUAAAGUUUACAAAUCGUAUGUUUUUUUUCUCUUUUAUAUUAAAACUAAACAAUUACUGGGUAACACACAGUUGUGUUAAAUUAAUAGAAAGUUACACAUUAAUGUGUUUACUGAAGCAACACAUUUUUUGUGUUGCAUUUUAUAACACAUAUUCUGUGUUAAAUUUAACUCAACAUGUGUUGUCCCUGCGCACACUCAGAACAUGUGUAAAAAAUAACACAUGUUGUGUUG